rnacentral:lncRNA from 1 species
AUUAAGUUAGUGGAGAAAAGAUGUUCAAUCUGUCAAACGAUCCUCAUGAAGGAUUACCACUCUUAUCCAGUGAAGCCCGGACCCACAAAUGUGUAGUAGGAGCUGCCGCAUUCGUACUUCCAAUCAUUCCCAAAAUAGAAAAACUUAAGCAGAGGCUAACAACCCAGACGCUAAACUCUACACGAUAGAAAAAACAAACAAGAAAUAAUUGUUCAAACAGAAAGAAACAUCUGAACGUAAAAAAUUAGUAAACUACCGGUGGAGCUCAAAUUAGGGACACCAAAACAUAAAAAACUCGAAGAGGCCGAUAUCUCGAGUGAGUUCUUUCCAAUGAAUCACUCCUCAUGGCAGGACCUGUUAUUCGGGCCUGCUGGUGCCUGGUUUUUUUGGUGUUCCUGGAUACCCUCAAACGCUACCGCCGGUUCUUCUUAGCCCAGCUGCAUCACGUUUUUUCCUCAUUCCUCUUCAUCAUCGUCUCGUCUUGGCUACACCAUCGGCAUCUCCAAUUUUUCAUGG